GUUAAAGAAGGGGGAUCAGAAAAAACAGAAGAUUCAAAAAAGUUGAUAAACGGAGUUCGAGAAAAUCAAGUUAAAGAAAAACAAAAUGAUGUGGAAGCGACCAAGAUCCAGGAUGUUGAUGAUGAAAAUAAAAAGUUAGCCGGAAAACAGAACAAGAAGUUAAAAUUGGAUGUUAAAGAAGGGGAAUGAGAAAAGUUUAUUGAUGGAGUUCGAGAAAAUAAAGUUGUUAAAAAAGAAAUAGACGUGGAAACGAAGAAGCCUGACAAAACAAGCAGUAAAAGUAAGCAAAUAAAUAAUGUGUCUGGUCUUAUAUCAUAUAGAUACAUGGAAAAUAUAUUUUAAUCAUAUAAUGUAUUCACAUUUGCAGCUUUUAAUAUUGGAGACUUCGUGGUUAUAAGUUACCGAAAGAAGAGGUAUCCAGGUUUAAUAAAAAAUAUAGAUCAGGGUGCCCAAGAAUAUGAGAUCAGCGUUAUGGAAAAGAUAAAACCAAAUUUUUGGAGAUGGCCCAAAAAUGUGGACCAAAUUUGGUAUAAGAGAAAAUUUGUUUUAGAAAAAAUUUCAGAGCCAGUCUCAUCCAAAGGCAGUAUAUAUAAUUUAAAUAUUUGAUAAUUAAAAAAACCUUAUUAAAAAUAAACCUUAUGUUCAUUUACUAGUCUUAUAGUUUUCAUUUAUUGGAGGAGUUCGUUCAUUUACUGGGAUUUUGGGCAUUUGUUAUAAAAAUCGGCAAAAUUUUAA